rnacentral:ncRNA from 1 species
UUUAUUGUUGGUUCGCGUAAAGUGAAUAAAAGGGAAUAGAGUGAAAGACUCUAACUGUACCCGCAACUGUAAUUACGAAGUUUAAUUACGAAUACCACUGAAGAAAUUUGGGAAGGUGUAAUUAAGCAUUGACGUAAAAGUCAGGAGACCUACCAACAGAAU